AGGGAGACAUUGGGCCAGCAGGACCGAGUGGACCAUCAGGAAUUCCAGGGCCCACGGGUUUCCCAGGGAGUGUGGGACAGCCUGGAAUGAAAGGUGAUAAGGGUGAACAUGGCCUUGCAGGAGAUCCAGGAGAUAUGGGGUACCCAGGAGACAAGGUAAGUUAUAGCUGCAUUGUUUUACAAAAUUAUCCAAUUUCAGCAACUUCAUCAGGCUUCUGAGUCUCUUAAAAUGCAGCAGGUUGGUUGCAUAAAAGUAGAAUGCAGUAGUAAUACUUCCUGGGUAUCAUUGUACUAACAUAUUUUUAAGAAAUUCCGUGCUAAUUAAAACUCAGUUAUGGAAAGUGUGCACAAAGACAAGUAAAGGGCACAAGCAGAACUCUGUCAGCUGUGUGUACAGAGAUGCAUCAAACAAGGAUUAUGGUGUGAUCUCAGUCUUUCUAAUGAACUGUUGUAAAAGGGUAUUUUUCCCUUGACCCUCGAGGUUCAUCUGCAGCUCACCUGGACCUACUGUGGUUAGCAGCAGCACACGAUCUGGCAUGCUCCUUUGCAUCAUCAAUCUGAGAUAAAUAAGGAUCUUCUUUCCUGUUUGGCUAGUACAUCAGAAGUCACUGAAAUAGCACAUCCUGUGAGAACUCUUUUGAUGAAAAUUGAAUGUUAGAAGAUAGUUCUCAACCUGAAGAAUUCUUUUGAAGCCUGUUUCAGGUGCCAAAAUAGAGCAAUUUAUUGCUUCCAACAUAACAAAACAAUUAAUUUUCAUAUGUAUUUAAUAUCUUUUUUUUUCAGGGUGCUCUUGGCUUACCAGGACCCCCAGGGAUCAGAGGAAAACCAGGACCUCCAGUAAGUUUACAUAUCAAAUUCUGUUGUUGGU
rnacentral:lncRNA from 1 species